rnacentral:rRNA from 1 species
UACGAAGGGGGCUAGCGUUGCUCGGAAUCACUGGGCGUAAAGCGCACGUAGGCGGCUCUUUAAGUCAGAGGUGAAAUCCUGGGGGCUCAACCCCAGAACUGCCUUUGAUACUGAGGAGCUUGAGUCCGGGAGAGGUGAGUGGAACUGCGAGUGUAGAGGUGAAAUUCGUAGAUAUUCGCAAGAACACCAGUGGCGAAGGCGGCUCACUGGCCCGGUACUGACGCUGAGGUGCGAAAGCGUGGGGAGCAAACAGG